rnacentral:misc_RNA from 1 species
GUUUGAAUCUUUUUGUUAUAGUAUUCAAGAUUUUUGUUUUAUUUGGGUAAAGUUUGAAUCUUUUUAUUAUAGUUUUCAAGAAUCUUGUGUUUUUAAGGAGAUAUGAGUAUUGAUAAUGAUGUUGUUAGAGGAGGAUUACAUGUGUCAGAUGAAUUAUUGGGUACUAUUUUGCCAAUAGUGGUGUAUUGGGUUUAUUCAGGAUUGUAUUGUUUGCUUGGGGGUAUGGAGAAUUAUAGAUUACAUACUAAGAAAGAUGAAGAUGAGAAGAAUUUGGUUACCAAGAAAGAGG